CAAACCGGCAGCCGAUUUUCGUGAAACACCAGCAAACAACUACGCCGCGUUACAACAGGAAGCAAGUGGCGGUAGCCCCAAGUCGGCAGUGUCCCACUGGACACUUGCUGGACAAGAACAACGUCUGCAGAAUGAUAUGGCUUGGGUGAACAAUAGUCUCCCCAUCAAUCAGCAGUCUGCAAGUUAAGUUUGACUCUUGAAAAGCACGUCCUCAUGCAUAUUUAAUGAACGAGAUACGUACCGUCGCGGCCUGGUGAAUUCGCGGAUCAUGUAAAAAUACGGAAGAAGGGAAAUUUAUGCGGAAAACAUACGUUGUAAUACGAAAAAAUGUCGAUCCUAGUCGGUUCUAUUUUUUGCUUCCCUUUUCAAGAGUUGAAAAUACACGGUAAUACUAAUAAUACA